rnacentral:lncRNA from 1 species
CCUGAGUCACAGGCUCAGAAGCUUUCGCCUCCGCCUUCAGACUGGCCCUCAGGCUUCCCUGCUCAGAGGCAGGGAAUUGUGCAGCUGGAGUUUCAUUUUCCAAGAGGCAGGGUCUCAGUCUGUCACCCAGGCUGGAGUACAGUGGCACCAUCUUGGCUCACUCUAGCCUCGACCUCCUGGGCUCAAGUGAGCCUCCUACCUCAGUCUCCCAAAAUGCUGGGAUUACAAGCAUGAACCACUGUGACUUGCCUUCUUGGCAAUUUUAAAUGAAAGAAGAAGAUGGAAUAAUGCCUACUGAGGACUAUGUUUGAGGGGUGUUGUAUGACCCCGUUUUCCAUACCCAGCCAACUUGUCAUGUGACAAGUCCACAGAAAGAUGUUAUAUGACAGGAAUCUAUGAACUAGUCUUCCCUGAAAUGUACCUGACUACAGCUAACAUCAUAUCACAUGAUGAAAGACCGCGUUGUUUUCCCCUGAGGUUGGCAGAAUGACUGUCUACAUAGGAAUAGCUCCUCUGCAGAGACAUCUAGAAGAUGCUGAGAUAAUAUAUGUAAAAACUGACAAGCCCUUUGGGACAGAUACCAGCAAAUGCAAG